GUAAAAGAGUAGUGUCACUAAAAAAUGUGGGGCAAAUGUUUGAAAUUUCAAGGGCCCAAGUGCAUUUUCUUCAAAAUACUAAACCUUUUAGGUUUAGAUCUUUCUCUUCGCCCAAACAACACUCUUUUACAGUGUCGUACCUCAUGAACUCAUGUGGGUUGUCCCCAGAAACUGCUCUAUCUGCGUCACGGAAGGUACAGUUUGAAACUCCAGAAAGAGCAGACUCCGUCCUCGCACUCCUUAGGAAUUAUGGAUGCACCAAUACCCAUAUCUCCAAAAUUGUAAGCAGGUAUCCGCUCCUGCUCACUGCCAAUCCUGAGAAGACCCUUUUGCCCAAACUAGAGUUUUUCCGUUCCGUAGGCUUUUCAGGGCCUGACCUUGCCAGUAUUGUCGCUGCUAGCCCACAGAUCUUGAGAAGGAGCUUGGAAAAUCAUGUUAUUCCUAGUUAUAAUUUCCUCAAGAGCGUAGUUAUGGUCAAUGAAAAUAUUGUGAGGGCUCUCAAUAAGUCAUACUGGCUUAAUGGUCAAAGCUUGCCAAACAUAAUCGUUCCAAAUAUUGAAAUUCUGAAAGACAUUGGAGUUCCCAUGUCAAAUAUUUCGUUUUUGGUGACAUGUCACCCUAGUGCAGUGUCUCAAAACAAUGUGAAGUUUGCUAGAAGUGUCAAGAUGGUUAUUGAAAUGGGAUUUGAUCCUUUGAGAGUUAAGUUUCUGAAAGCAGUUCAAGUGAUCGUUGAAAUGGCUGAAUCAAUGUGGGAGCAUAAAAUGGAGGUUUACAGGCGGUGGGGUUUGACAGAUGAUCAGAUUAUGUUGAUGUUCAGAUUGGAUCCCUUAUGUAUGAAGUCAUCGGAGAAGAAAAUAAUGAGUGUGAUGGAUUUUUUGGUUAAUAAGAUGGGUUGGGAACCUGCAGCUAUUGGUAGAUAUCCAACAGUCUUUUUGCGCAGUCUUGAGAAGAAGAUCAUUCCAUGGUGUUCAGUGGUGAAAGUUCUUCAAAUGAAGGGGUUGGUGAAGAAGGAUCUGUGUGUGAGUUUUUUAGGCUCUGGUGAGAAGAAUUUCUUCAAUAGGUUUGUGGUGAAAUAUGAGCAAGAUGUUCCUGAGCUUUUAAAUGUAUAUCAAGGAAAAAUUGGUAUUUUGGAACUUGGCCUCAUACCUGAGAGGAUAUGGGAGAAGAAACAAUUGUAGCACCUCAACUUUAUAAUUCGAAGUAAAUAUGCCUUUUGUCAUUUUUCCUAUUUGAAACUUGGUUUGCAGGCAUGUUAACUUCUCUUUGCUCUGUUUUUAAGUUGAUAAUAUAAACACCCAUAUCUCUGAACUCAACUAUUUACUGAUAUUGACUGAUUUGUAAUGUUUCUGUUAGUGUUACUGGAAUUUUAUCAGUAUGAUGCAACAAGCAAGUUUCUACAAUGAUGUGGUUCUACUUUCCUAAUCUUCGUGUUAUGUUUUUAAUUGACAUUAUUGUGAAUGUGGCAAUGAGCUAAUUAUCCUCUUUUGUUGCAUAAAACAGGUUGUUUAUAGUUAGAGGUAUUUUAUGGGAUGAAUACCUCAGGUAGUUUCUACAAUGAUGCUUUCUAAUUAUCAUCAUUGUUGCACUUUACUCAGGAUUUUUCUUAGAAUUGCAUUACUUUGUUUCUAGGUAAUUGGGAGGUGGAGGUGGUUGAAAGAUGAGGUUCCGUUUAGAAAGCAUCCUUCACAUGCGAGUUAUUAAAUAAGAACAUUGUCACUGGGAUGGUUUUGGGGAAAAAAAAAAUGGUUGGUAAGCAACUGGCAUUUCUGGAGUUUCAAUGGUUCUAUUUCAGCAAUAGGAUGGCCUUGAGUUGCUCGAUUAUUAAAGUUCUGCUGUGGAAGGGCUUUGUAAUGAAAACUUCUUGCUUAACUGCUAUACUAAUACCUGCUAAGAAUUAAUUCUUGCUCAGUUUGUGUUCAAAUAUUAGGAGCAUAUUCAAGUGAUUGUUGAGUCGAUGUCUGUCACGGGAUAAUAGGUUUCUGGAUGGAAACAAAACAAGUGAUUCAAGGUCCUCUAUGUAUAAUUGGAGGAUUCUAUGGGGAUAUCAUCCCUUCAUCAUAGCUCGUAUCUUCUCCUGAUUUGGGUACCAAGUACUUUGAUUGAUUAUUGUCAGAAUUCCCUUUGUUUUUAUAUUUACAAGGCAUUGCCUUGUGAUAACAUUUUUCUUCUGUUCUGUUGUUCCAGAGCCUGUGUUUAUCCAAUGCCCCUUGUUCAGUUCCUUCUCACAUGGAAACUGCUGCAACACCUUGGAUCUUCCCUGAUGGUUCUUCCAAAGCAGAAUUCACGGAAUGCAACAUGUUGGGCCUUCUACAGUGUGACCCCGGGAACCAGGAAAGUUCUCAUUGCCACAGAAUAAUGCUUUAGGAUGGAUCGACGUUUCUGUUUGAUGAGGAAUAUGAGGCACCUAACACCCAUAGGCAGAUGUUCAUCCUUUUCUAAUCGGAGAUAGUCUGCAAAUGUAUUUCUACAGAGGCAGGCAAAGCCCUUUGAACCCCAAGUUCUUACUUUGCCUGGAGGCCUUAAAAUAAGAGCGGUGUUGGGGUCUCUUGCUUAAAGUGGUUCUUCCUCAAGCAUUAUUAUAAUACCAUAACUGUUGGGUCCUGGAACUCUUUUGCUUUGCUUGUUUGUUUCAGUUCUUCUGUUCUUUUGAUGCCUGGUUCCUUUGGAAUCAAAUGGAGUCAUUCCUUUCCUUGGAUUCAAUGGUUCACUUGAAAUUUUAGAGCAAAGAAUGCAUGGUUCCACACAUUUUUGUAGGAAAAUCAUUCCCCUAAAUUUUUUACACUUACAUGUUGGUAUCUUCUCAUAAGAGAACAUAUUGCAUAUUUCAAUAUAGUAUCUAUGCCCUAAAAAAAAGUUCAUAUUACUUGUAUUAUAUUCAACUCUUUCUAAUUUAUAAAAAAUAUUAAGUUUUAGAAAAUUAAACUAUUAUAAAUUUUAUUUCGCUUCAAAUUUUUAUUUUAUGAUUGGAUGUAUUAAAAAAAUUAAAGGUAAGUUAUUCAAUUUAAAAGUAAAAAUAAAUCUAGCAAAUUGAAAAAUAAAACAUAGAAUUAUCCGUUUAACUAAACUUUAAAAGAAAAAAUAAUAAUAUUUUAAAUUUGCUUUUUAGAAAUAAAAAUAUUUUAUCAUAACUCUUAAAUAUUUUUUUAUACAUAAAAUACCCAAAAUACCCUCACCAUGCUCAUAUUCAAAACCCUAAUUCUAUUUCUUUAUUUUUCCUUCAAAAUCUUAUUUUAUUUUGUAUUUUUAUUUAAAUUAGGGUACAGAAAACACUUUUCCCCUUCUUUUUUCACUAGAAAGUGCAACAUUUGCUGGAGAGAUGAGGUUUUCUGGGCCCUGUUUGUUUAGGUAAAAAAUGGUUCGAGGAAACAUCUUUUGGCAUGGUGGUACAUUUCCAAAUCUAUCUAGCUGCUUCUGAUUUGUCCAUUGUUCGCUGCCUUGGUCAUUGCUUUUCUGCAACGGGUGCUGGAAAUGAGGGCCGAGCGAGUUUCGGAGCUUUACGAUCUUCAAAAUUGGUGAGAGACUCGAACAUUAUCUAGAAAUGAGUACUUGUUUCCUCUGUAGAAGAGUAGUGUCACUCACAAAUGUAGGGCAAAUGUUUGAAAUUUCAAGGACCCGAGUGCAUUUUCUUCAAAAUACCCAACUUCUUAUGCUUAGAUCUUUCUCUUCGCCCAAACAACACUCUUUCACAGUGUCUUACCUCAUGAACUCAUGUGGGUUGUCCCCAGAAACUGCUCUAUCUGCAUCACGGAAGAUACAGUUUGAAACCCCAGAAAGAGCAGACUCCGUCCUCGCACUGCUUAGAAAUUAUGGAUGCACCAAUAGCCAUAUCUCCAAAAUUGUAAGCCGGUAUCCGCUCCUGCUCACUGCCAAUCCUGAGAAGACCCUUUUGCCCAAACUGGAGUUUUUCUGUUCUGUAGGCUUUUCAGGGCCUGAC
rnacentral:lncRNA from 1 species